rnacentral:precursor_RNA from 1 species
AAUCUGAUGUCUAACCUAAUUUGGAUACCUGCCUUUUUAGCUUGCAGCUGCCGUCCGUGCACAGAGGAGUCUUAGGAGGAACAACUGUAGAGAAAAGGAUCUGCCAAAUUCGCUAGAAAAUUCACCAGAAACACCACCCGUUAUCCAAUUAAACCAGAUUUUUGGAUCAUUUGUGAAGUUGAAUUGCUAUCCAACUGCUAUUCCCAUUUCUAAACCUUGUUA